UACAGAGGGGGCAAGCGUUGUUCGGAAUUACUGGGCGUAAAGGGCGCGUAGGCGGCCCGCUAAGUCGAACGUGAAAUCCCCAGGCUCAACCUGGGAACUGCGUCCGAUACUGGCAGGCUUGAAUCCGGGAGAGGGAUGUGGAAUUCCAGGUGUAGCGGUGAAAUGCGUAGAUAUCUGGAGGAACACCGGUGGCGAAGGCGGCAUCCUGGACCGGCAUUGACGCUGAGGCGCGGAAAGCCAGGGGA
rnacentral:rRNA from 1 species